GAUGAAGAACGUAGCGAAAUGCGAUAAGUAAUGUGAAUUGCAGAAUUCAGUGAAUCAUCGAAUCUUUGAACGCACAUUGCGCCCGCCAGUAUUCUGGCGGGCAUGCCUGUUCGAGCGUCAUUACAACCCUCAGACCCCCGGGCCUGGCGUUGGGGAUCGGCGGAAGCCCCCUGUGGGCACACGCCGUCCCUCAAAUACAGUGGCGGUCCCGCCGCAGCUUCCAUUGCGUAGUAGCUAACACCUCGCAACUGGAGAGCGGCGCGGCCAUGCCGUAAAACACCCAACUUCUGAAUGUUGACCUCGAAUCAGGUAGGAAUACCCGCUGAACUUAAGCAUAUCAAUAAGCGGAGGA
rnacentral:misc_RNA from 1 species